UAGCCCUUUGGCCUUUCCCCAUGGCAAAACCUGACCAUCCUCUUGUUUUAUUCCAAGCAAUUCAGUCUGUGGUUGUGCCACUUGGCACUGGGAUCAAGCUAGGUUUCAGAGGCUGAGUAGGGGCAGGCUGGGUGGGUAAGUUGGAUAGGAGACCUCCGAGCGCCACCCACCCAGAUCUGCCGGACGCAGUGCUGGAGGAUUCGAUAGGUGGCGCGCUCUUAUUGGGUCAGCACGGCACACUAGGGAGGACUGUGUGGCAGGUGUAACACACACAAGCCCCCAUCACUAAAGAUCCCCUAGUGCUUCAGCGGAUGUUAGCCCCAGAGUCCCAGCCAAAUUCCAGCCUGGAAUUGCGAUGUUGCCUACCUAAUAUUCCUCCUGCAGUUACGGUACUCGGGCCCUGUCCUAAACGAUUAUAACAGCUGCUGCAGCCCUCCCCAGAGGUGGCCACAUUGGCUAGUCAAACCGACCCAUAUGAGUCUGUACCAUUUAUACAGCGCUCUGGGCUGCGAAGUACCGUAGGAGGAUCCACAUUGUAGCCCUGUCGUGCUUUUUAUAUUCUUUUGGUGGGGGAAAAGCAGGCUGAGUAGCUGAAAGCCACGAGGAUCGUGCACGGAGCCAUGAUAGGAGACAAACCGGAGGGUCCAAUACAAGCAGUGGAUAUCCCAGGCAGAGAAAGUCUCUCAACGCACCAGGGAAGGGUGCCUUCACCUACCUACAAGAGGAACACAUGCCCUACAACCCACAGAAAAGCAGGCACUGAUCCCACAUGGGCAGCCCGUCCCCUCUAACGCAAGCCUGAGUCAGGCUGGCAAGGGUGCCCGACAAUCCCCAGGAAUAAAACGCUGCUCUGGACCUCCCAGGGUGUUACUGACACCACUUAUCAGAGCCCUGCAGGCUGGCGAAGCCUCACUGGAGCGCUAGCAGGAGGUAGACACCAACUAACCUGUCUCAGUCAGGAAUCGCCUGUACUUUACAGCCCUGCCAAGGCUCCACUCAGCACCACGAGUCAGGGUUUCAGCGCAAACCGCUCCUUAUGCCUCUGGCUUCUGCAAUGGGAGUUUUACCCUGCCUGCAGUCUCA